AUUGGGAGGAACAGAAACACCAAGCUCACCCAUGAAUACUUCAAUGAGGAGCACAGGCACCAGCUCUGACGGGAGUGACUGAGGGAGCUCCUGGUGAAAUGUGCCAAGGUUGCUGCAGUUGGAGAGGGGGCUCCACCAGCUCCACAUCCUGGGCAGACAGGAACACAGUCUCUUUCUGUAUCACACCCUUGUGCCAGGGCUGAUGACUCUCAGUUCAGGCAGACACUGUCAUCUAACGCCAGGCCACAAUGUCACCGAAAGCCAGGGAAAACACCUGUCCCGUGAUUCUUCACUGGAAUGGCUUCAGCAUGGAAUCUCUUCCCUCAGCUCAAUACAGACAACUUUGUGGCUCUCCUGUUCUCCAGUGUAGGAACACUGCUGCUUCAUAGAGAGAGGGGGAAUGGUUCUGCCUUACAGUACAUGCAGAUGAUCUAUUCAAAGUGUGAAUAUUUACUAUUUUGAUUCAUCUCCAUGGAAGAGGAACCCACUAGCUGCUUCUAGUCAGCCAUCUUGAACCAGAAGCCCUUAUUUUACUUUUAUUUGUACUUUUUCUUUCAAAAAACUUUUUAAAUAUGUCAUUAAAAUGGUAAAUUUGCAAGUUUAAGUGAAAUCUAGUUUAGAAUUGAUGAAUUGUUAGUGAUGAUAUUCACAUCAUGAAAGUACUCAAUAGCAACUAGCCAAAGACAUUACUUUGAGGCAUGAAAAUAUCCUGUGUCUGUUUCUGCAAUAUAUGUUUAUUUCAGGAUAAAAAAAGAAAUUGUUUCUAUAAUGGAUUUUCACAUGGAACAAGUAAAAUGUUCUUGACUGAA